UCUUUACAAGCAUCAUUGCUACAGC
rnacentral:piRNA from 1 species